UGGGCGUAAGAGCUCGUAGGCGGUUUGUCGCGUCUGCUGUGAAAUCCCGAGGCUCAACCUCGGGCUUGCAGUGGGUACGGGCAGACUAGAGUGCGGUAGGGGAGAUAGGAAUUCCUGGUGUAGCGGUGGAAUGCGCAGAUAUCAGGAGGAACACCGAUGGCGAAGGCAGAUCUCUGGGCCGUAACUGACGCUGAGGAGCGAAAGCAUGGGGAGCGAACAGGAUUAGAUACCCUGGUAGUCCAUGCCGUAAACGUUGGGCGCUAGAUGUAGGGACCUUUCCACGGUUUCUGUGUCGUAGCUAACGCAUUAAGCGCCCCGCCUGGGGAGUACGGCCGCAAGGCUAAAACUCAAAGGAAUUGACGGGGGCCCGCACAAGCGGCGGAGCAUGCGGAUUAAUUCGAUGCAACGCGAAGAACCUUACCAAGGCUUGACAUACACCGGAAACGGCCAGAGAUGGUCGCCCCCUUGUGGUCGGUGUACAGGUGGUGCAUGGUUGUCGUCAGCUCGUGUCGUGAGAUGUUGGGUUAAGUCCCGCAACGAGCGCAACCCUCGUUCUAUGUUGCCAGCGGGUUAUGCCGGGGACUCAUAGGAGACUGCCGGGGUCAACUCGGAGGAAGGUGGGGAUGACGUCAAAUCAUCAUGCCCCUUAUGUCUUGGGCUUCACGCAUGCUACAAUGGCCGGUACAAAGGGCUGCGAUACCGUAAGGUGGAGCGAAUCCCAAAAAGCCGGUCUCAGUUCGGAUUGAGGUCUGCAACUCGACCUCAUGAAGUCGGAGUCGCUAGUAAUCGCAGAUCAGCAACGCUGCGGUGAAUACGUUCCCGGGCCUUGUACACACCGCCCGUCAAGUCAUGAAAGUCGGUAACACCCGAAGCCGGUGGCCUAACCCUUGUGGAAGGAGCCGUCGAAGGUGGGAUCGGUGAUUAGGAC
rnacentral:rRNA from 2 species